rnacentral:rRNA from 1 species
UACGAAGGUGGCGAGCGUUAUUCGGAUUGACUGGGCUUAAAGGGCGCGUAGGCGGUUUUUCGUGUCAGGUGUGAAAUCCCCGGGCUUAACUCGGGAAUGGCGCUUGAGACUGGAGAACUAGAGAGAGGCAGGGGGUCAUGGAACUCACGGUGGAGCGGUGAAAUGCGUAGAGAUCGUGGGGAACACCGGAAGCGAAGGCGGUGACCUGGGCCUUAUCUGACGCUGAGGCGCGAAAGCGUGGGGAGCAAACAGG